UACGGAGGGUGCAAGCGUUAAUCGGAAUUACUGGGCGUAAAGCGCGCGUAGGCGGUCUUGUAAGUCGGAUGUGAAAUCCCGGGCUCAACCUGGGAACUGCAUUCGAUACUGCUCGACUAGAGUAUGGAAGAGGGAAGGGGAAUUCCCGGUGUAGCGGUGAAAUGCGUAGAUAUCGGGAGGAACAUCAGUGGCGAAGGCGGCCCUCUGGUCCAGUACUGACACUCAAGUGCGAAAGCGUGGGGA
rnacentral:rRNA from 1 species